CUUUUUCCACUAAGAAUAUAUAAAAAAGAAACCGUCAAAGAAGUAAAAGAGGAGAAUGAGCUGUCACAGGUUACAAGAAUUUCAAAAAGCUCUGUGGCUGUGUUCUAGUAGCAAGACCGGAUGGAGUGUUGGUGAAACAGCAGUGAAACCUCACGGAACAAGAUGAGAUCACUCCUGCAACGGUUCUGCCCCCGAGCAUAUUUAUAAGCGACUUUAAAAGCAUCAGAGAGGAUUACAUGAAGACCCAGAGACAUCAGGACGCACAUGUCCGUCUCGGUGUGUUCGGUGCUUCUGAGGACACGUGUGAGCGCAUGAUGCGUGCGUGUGGCUGCGCAGGCUUGGGUCCCUCCGGCUCGGUACUCAGGGCAUCUGCACAGAGCCUGGGAGGCAACCCGCAGGCCGCUGCUGGUCUCUUCUCCGCCGUGAUGCAGGAAGGAGGAGGAGGAGGAGGACACAUGCAUAAGGGGCCUGAAGUUAUACACCAGAUGCCUUACCUGACACUUGAAGACUGGGGCAAGGCUGCUCCAAACAAAAGUACCAAAGCUCUGAGCCAGAGAGUUCUCUGA
rnacentral:lncRNA from 1 species